rnacentral:rRNA from 1 species
GGCAGCCCUAACACAUUGACAAGUCGAACGGUAACAUUUCUAGCUUGCUAGAAGAUGACGAGUGGCAGGGUGAGUAUGCUUGGGAACUUGCCUUUGCGAGGGGGAUAACAGUUGGAAACGACUGCUAAUACCGCAUAAUGUCUUCGGACCAAACGGGGCUUAGCUCCGGCGCAAAGAGAGGCCCAAGUGAGAUUAGCUAGUUGGUAAGGUAACGGCUUACCAAAGGCGACGAUCUCUAGCUGUUCUGAGAGGAAGAUCAGCCACACUGGGACUGAGACACGGCCCAGACUCCUACGGGAGGCAGCAGUGGGGAAUAUUGCACAACUGGGGGAAACCCUGAUGCAGCCAUGCCGCGUGUGUGAAGAAGGCCUUCGGGUUGUAAAGCACUUUCAGUUGUGAGGAAAAGUUAGUAGUUAAAUACCUGCUAGCCGUGACGUUAACAACAGAAGAAGCAACCGGCUAACUCCGUGCCAGCAGCCGCGGUAAUACGGAGGGUGCGAGCGUCAAUCGGAAUUACUGGGCGUAAAGCCGCACGCAGGCGGAUUUGUUAAGCUAGAUGUGAAAGCCCGGGCAUCACCUGGAUGGGUCAUUUAGAACUGGCAGACUAA